CCCAGGGCUGAGCCCUGGGCUGUAUUAGCGCGCCCCUUCGGGGCU
rnacentral:sRNA from 1 species